GACGAACGCUGGCGGCGCGCUUAACACAUGCAAGUCGAACGGAAAGGCCUGCUUUCCCUUGUGGAUUGCGGGUACUCGAGUGGCGAACGGGUGAGUAACACGUGAGUUAUCUGCCCCCAACUUGGGUAUAAGCCUGGGAAACUGGGUCUAAUUCCCGAUAGGACUGCAGGGUGGUGCCUGUGGUGGAAAACGAUUUUCUAGUGGUUGGGGAUGAGCUCGCGGCCUAUCAGCUUGUUGGUGGGGUAAUGGCCUACCAAGGCGGCGACGGGUAGCCGGCCUGAGAGGGUGGACGGCCACAUUGGGACUGAGAUACGGCCCAGACUCCGACGGGAGGUAGCAGUGGGGAAUAUUGCACAAUGGGCGGAAGCCUGAUGCAGCGACGCCGCGUGGGGGAUGACGGCCUUCGGGUUGUAAACUCCUUUCGACCGCGAGGAAGCCACCUGGUUGGAAGGGUGGUGACGGUAGUGGUAGAAGAAGCACCGGCUAACUACGUG
rnacentral:rRNA from 1 species